rnacentral:rRNA from 1 species
UAACCGCUGAAAGCAUCUAAGCGGGAAGCGAGCCCUGAGAUGAGUCAUCCCUGACCCCUUGAGGGUCCUAAAGGGCCGUUGGAGACCACAACGUUGAUAGGUGGGGUGUGUAAGCGCGGCGACGUGUUGAGCUAACCCAUACUAAUUACCCGUGAGGCUUAACCAUACAACACCCAAGAAGUGUUCU